GGGGGAGGAGGAAGGGGGAAAAAUCCUGUAGGACAGGGAGGAGGGAUGUAGACGGUUAGGAAGGAAGAGAUAACUUUGAAAUUGAAAAAGACAAAAUGGAUGCAAGAAGAAAAAAACGUAACAUUGAACUACAUGCUAACUGCAACAUUAUGCAUUCUCAUGAACACAGAACCCAAGCGGCGUAUCCAUAUACCUGUUGCAGUAUGUGACUCUGUUGGCCAACAUUCUCCGUGGAAGGUGUGUUGUGACAAGAACUGCAAGAAAAUCAGCAUCUGGUGGAAGAGGUCGCCUGUUCACCCCAGAGCAGGAGACCCACAUUGUAAAUAUGGUCAUUGCAAAUAGCUGCAUCAGACUCAGAGAACUGCAGGACCACAUAAUGGCAGAUAACACGAUAUUCCAAAACGUCAACAAAGUGAGUCUCUCUGCACUGUAUCGUCUACUGAAACACAAUAGAAUUAGGAUGAAGCGGCUGUACAGAGUCCUUUCAAAAGAAACUCAGACCGUGUAAAACAACUGAGAUAUGAAUAUGUGCAGGUAAGCUAUACUAUCCUAUCAUUGGUACUGGAUCUGGAAGUGUAUGGUGCUACAUCAUAUUGACUGAUCCCUGUCUUUUCCUACUGUGCUACAUUGUUUUGUCUUGUCCCUCUAAGAGAGUCAUGGAGCUAGAAGCAGAUGCAGUGCAUCAUGAGCUAAUAUAUGUGGAUGAGGCAGGUUUCAACCUUACAAAAACAAUGGGCCGUGGCAAAAAUAUAAUCGGGCACCGUGCCAUCGUCAACAUCCCGGGACAACGUGGUGGCUAUUAGUCAAAACGGCGUCCUUCACCAUCAUGCAAUCCUAGGCCCAUACAACACUGCACACAUGAUCAAAUUUCUGGACACCCUCCACAACAGACUAAUCCCUAAUGACCAGGGGCCAGAGCAGCCCAGGUACGUUAUCAUCUGGGACUUUGUUUGUUUCCACCAGGCUGCUGUGGUACGCAAUUGGUUCACAGGUCACACACUUUUCAUUGCGCUCAAACUCCUCCCAUACUCUCCGUUCUUGAAUCCUAUUGAAUAAUUAUUCUCUGCAUGGCGUCGGAACGUGUAUGUUCGCCAGCACCACCAACGCAUACCCCUUCUACAGGCAAUGGAUGAGGCUUGUGGAGACAUCGAUCAGGGUUCAUGCCUGGAUACGGCACUCCAGGCAUUGUUUUCUUCUGGUGCGCUUUUGUUGUUUGAGGAGUGUUGGAACAUUUUGAGAAAAAACAAAAACACAUUUUCCCCUUAUUUGUAUUGAUAGUGUGUUAUAUUCGGGAAUACACAUCCAUACUUUACACAUUU